UACGGAGGGUGCAAGCGUUAUUCGGAAUUACUGGGCGUACAGGGCGCGUAGGCGGUUUGGUAAGUCCGGUGUGAAAGCCCACGGCUCAAUCGUGGAAGUGCACUAGAUACUGCCAGACUGGAGUGCAGGAGAGGAGAACGGAAUUCCCGGUGUAGGGGUGAAAUUCGUAGAUAUCGGGAGGAACAACGGAGGCGAAGGCGGUUCUCUGGACUGCAACUGACGCUGAGGCGCGAAAGCGUGGGGAGCAAACAGG
rnacentral:rRNA from 1 species